rnacentral:rRNA from 1 species
AUUGAACGCUGGCGGCAGGCCUAACACAUGCAAGUCGAACGAGUGGCGGACGGGUGAGUAAUGUCUGGGAAACUGCCCGCUGGAGGGGGAUAACUACUGGAAACGGUAGCUAAUACCGCAUACCAUCGGAUGUGCCCAGCUGGGAUUAGCUAGUAGGGGGGGUGACGGCUCACCUGGGCGACGAUCCCUAGCUGGUCUGAUAGGAUGACCGGCCACCCGGGAACUUAGACACGGACCAUACUCCUACGGUAGGCAGCAGUGGAGAAUAUUGCACUAUGGGCGCAAGCCUGAUGCAGCCAUGCCGCGUGUAUGAAGAAGGCCUUAGGGUUGUAAAGUACUAUCCGCGAGGAGGCGUUACGCGCAGAAGAAGCACCGGCUAACUCCGUGCCAGCAGCCGCGGUAAUUC